rfam:Xiphophorus maculatus strain JP 163 A Contig1169.6, whole genome shotgun sequence.
CCAUUAUCGGGAGCAGAGUCUCCCAUAAUGC